rnacentral:rRNA from 1 species
AACUUUUAACAAUGGAUCUCUUGGCUCUUGCAUCGAUGAAGAACGCAGCGAAAUGCGAAACUAAAUGUGAAUUGCAUCUCUAGCGAGUCAUCAUGUCUUUGAACGCACUUUGCACUAAUAGUUUACUAUUAGUAUAUUUGUUUGAGGUCUCUA